UAGUCCACGCCGUAAACGAUGUCAACUAGCCGUCGGGCUCAUUUAAGGGUUUGGUGGCGCAGCUAACGCGAUAAGUUGACCGCCUGGGGAGUACGCCGGCAACGGUAAAACUCAAAGGAAUUGACGGGGGCCCGCACAAGCGGUGGAUUAUGUGGUUUAAUUCGAAGCAACGCGCAAAACCUUACCUAGGCUUGAAAUCCUACGAAUCUGGUGUAAUGACCGGAGUGCUCGCAAGAGAACGUAGUGACAGGUGCUGCAUGGCUGUCGUCAGCUCGUGUUGUGAAAUGUUGGGUUAAGUCUCGCAACGAGCGCAACCCCUAUCCUUAGUUGCCAGCAUUUAGUUGGGCACUCUAGGGAGACUGCCUGGGCAACCAGGAGGAAGGUGGGGAUGACGUCAAGUCCUCAUGGCCCUUAUGCCUAGGGCUACACACGUAAUACAAUGGUGCAUACAAUGGGAAGCGACCCAGUGAUGGUGAGCAAAUCUCUAAAAGUGCAUCUCAGUCCGGAGUU
rnacentral:rRNA from 1 species